UUUUUUGGGAAUUAAUAAUAUACAAAACUCCUUGUUUUGGUGUUUAUUUAUUUAAUGUUAAGUAGGUGUUUAGCGUGUAAUUAGCUAAUUAAGAAUCAUGUCGAGGCCCUGAGUGGAGCUUUGAGCAGGAUAAAGCAUUUGAGAAUGCCUUGGGUACUUACCCUGAGGACGAUCCGGAUCGAUGGGAGAAGAUUGCUGCCGAUGUAAUUGGGAAGACUUUGGAAGAGGUUAAACAACACUAUGAGCUUCUGGUUGAUGAUGUCAACUUAAUUGAAUCUGGGCGUGUGACUCUACCGACUUAUAAUUCUACUUUAGAAGGCUCAACAGGCAAUGCUAGUGAUGAAGGAGCUGGCAAGAAGGGUGGCCAACCUUAGAAUUCGAACAACGAGUCUAAUAAUGGAUCUAAGGCUUCAAGAUCAGAUCAGGAACGUCAUAAGGGUAUUGCUUGGACAGAAGAUGAACACAGGAACCAAGCAAGGCUACAGAGAAAUCUAAUGUACCUAGCAGCAAUAUAUGAUUCUCAACCAUAACCACAUUUUAUUGGACUGCUCCCCAAAUUCUGCUUGUUGCCGCUACCGAUAAUCCUCAUUUUAGCAACUGUUUGAACUUCAAAACAAUUAGUCAUGGAUAAGAGUUGGAUGCUCAAACCGCGAACUUCUAAGAAGUACUGCAUUAUAGAAAAACAAUGAAAAGGACACUACAUUUAUGAAAAGGGUAGCAAGCCAAAACCCGAUCUUUCAAUACUACCAAUUGUUGAAGAGUUGAGAAGACUUGCCAAUAUUAUGCCUGGUGGAAAGCCUAUAUCUAUUACUGACCAAGAGAUUGUAGAGAUGAUACUCUUUCCAAUAGUGAACGAGGCAUGCCAUGUUUUAUAUGAAGGAAUGGUUAUUCAAGCAUCAGACCUCGACAUUGCUUGUGUUCUUGGGAUGAGCUUCCCUAGUUACAGCUUUUUGGUUGGGGCAAAGCAUGUAUAUAACAGCCUAAAGAAAUGGUCAGAAUUAUAUGGUAACUUCUAUAAGCCAUCAAGGUAUAUGGAGGAAAGGGCAAUUCAGGGCAUUCCUUUGUUAAGACUUUAUAUCUGUUAUUUUCUAUUUGAAUUUUAUGGAACUUAGUAUUUUCAAUUUCCUUUGUACAUGAGAAAAAAAAUGUUAAAUUGACAUAGUUACCUUAGGAUAUUUGGAUAGUUAAAGUUGAAAAACCAAGAUAACUAAGUCCUGCUUACUUUCUUGUAUGUGACUGCUUACUUCCUUUUGUACAUGAGAAAAAAAAUUGUUAAAUUUCCUUGGUGUAAGUGACUGCUUACUUUCUUGUGAAGUCCUGUAAAUGGUAACUAAUGAAAUUCAUGCUCUUCUGCCUA